CACAUCGUACGACAGUACGAUGUACACAUUUUUGAGUGCCU
rnacentral:rRNA from 1 species